GUGCUCGCUUCGGCAGCACAUAUACUAAAAUUGAAACAAUACAGAGAAGAUUAGCAUGGCCCCUGUGCAAGGAUGACAUGCAAAUUCGUGAAGCAUUUCAUAUUUUU
rnacentral:snRNA from 1 species